AAUAUACUCCCUCCGUCCCUAAAUUCUUGUUUUAGAUUUAUCUAAAUACGGAUGUAUCAAAUCACAUUUUAGUAUUAGAUACAUCUGUAUCUAGACAAAUAUAAGACAUAAAUUUUAGGACGGAGAGAGUAUAAA
rnacentral:pre_miRNA from 1 species